rnacentral:rRNA from 1 species
UGAGGAAUAUUGGUCAAUGGGCGCAAGCCUGAACCAGCCAUGCCGCGUGCAGGAUGAAGCAUCUAUGGUGUGUAAACUGCUUUUGUACGGGAAGAAACCACCCCUCGUGAGGGGUAUUGACGUUACCGUAAGAAUAAGGCUCGGCUAACUCCGUGCCAGCAGCCGCGGUAAUACGUAGGAUCCAAGCGUUAUCCGGAAUCAUUGGGUUUAAAGGGUCCGUAGGCGGUUUAAUAAGCCAGUGGUGAAAGCCCAUCGCUCAACGAUGGAACGUCCAUUGAUACUGUUAGACUUGAAUUACAUGGAAGUAGCUAGAAUAUGUAGUGUAGCGGUGAAAUGCUUAGAUAUUACAUGGAAUACCAAUUGCGAGGGCAGGUUACUACUUGUGGAUUGACGCUGAUGGACGAAAGCGUGGGUAGCAAACA